CCUACGGGAGGCAGCAGUGGGGAAUUUUGGACAAUGGGCGCAAGCCUGAUCCAGCAAUGCCGCGUGAGUGAAGAAGGCCUUCGGGUUGUAAAGCUCUUUUGUCAGGGAAGAAACGGUGGGAGCUAAUAUCUCCUACUAAUGACGGUACCUGAAGAAUAAGCACCGGCUAACUACGUGCCAGCAGCCGCGGUAAUACGUAGGGUGCAAGCGUUAAUCGGAAUUACUGGGCGUAAAGCGUGCGCAGGCGGUUUUGUAAGUCUGUCGUGAAAGCCCCGGGCUCAACCUGGGAAUUGCGAUGGAGACUGCAAGGCUUGAAUCUGGCAGAGGGGGGUAGAAUUCCACGUGUAGCAGUGAAAUGCGUAGAGAUGUGGAGGAACACCGAUGGCGAAGGCAGCCCCCUGGGUCAAGAUUGACGCUCAUGCACGAAAGCGUGGGGAGCAAACAGGAUUAGAUACUCUGGUAGUCCACGCCCUAAACGAUGUCUACUAGUUGUCGGGUUUUAAUUAACUUGGUAACGCAGCUAACGCGUGAAGUAGACCGCCUGGGGAGUACGGUCGCAAGAUUAAAACUUAAAUGAAUUGACGG
rnacentral:rRNA from 1 species